rnacentral:rRNA from 1 species
GACGAACGCUGGCGGCGUGCUUAACACAUGCAAGUCGAACGGAAAGGCCCUGCUUUUGUGGGGUGCUCGAGUGGCGAACGGGUGAGUAACACGUGAGUAACCUGCCCUUGACUUUGGGAUAACUUCAGGAAACUGGGGCUAAUACCGGAUAGGAGCUCCUGCUGCAUGGUGGGGGUUGGAAAGUUUCGGCGGUUGGGGAUGGACGCGCGGCUUAUCAGCUUGUUGGUGGGGUAGUGGCUUACCAAGGCUUUGACGGGUAGCCGGCCUGAGAGGGUGACCGGCCACAUUGGGACUGCGAUACGGCCCAGACUCCUACGGGAGGCAGCAGUGGGGAAUAUUGCACAAUGGGCGGAAGCCUGAUGCAGCAACGCCGCGUGCGGGAUGACGGCCUUCGGGUUGUAAACCGCUUUCGCCUGUGACGCAGCGUGAGUGACGGUAAUGGGUAAAGAAGCACCGGCUAACUACGUG